rnacentral:rRNA from 1 species
UGAGGAAUAUUGGUCAAUGGGCGAUAGCCUGAACCAGCCAUGUCGCGUGCAGGAUGACGGCCCUAUGGGUUGUAAACUGCUUUUAUACGGGAAGAAUCGCUUCGACGUGUCGAAGUUUGCCGGUACCGUAUGAAUAAGCAUCGGCUAACUCCGUGCCAGCAGCCGCGGUAAUACGGAGGAUGCGAGCGUUAUCCGGAUUUAUUGGGUUUAAAGGGUGCGUAGGCGGAGAUUCAAGUCAGCGGUGAAAGUCUGCAGCUCAACUGUAGUUGUGCCGUUGAAACUGAAUUUCUUGAGUGUAGCUGAGGUAGGCGGAAUGAGUAGUGUAGCGGUGAAAUGCAUAGAUAUUACUCAGAACACCAAUUGCGAAAGCAGCUUACUAAACUACAACUGACGCUGAUGCACGAGAGCGUGGGUAUCAAACA